UUUAAGGAUCUAACACAUGCAACAUGGGGCGUGUUGGAUGAUACUGCAAACAAUCUUAAGACCAUUAUACCACAAGCAUUUCUUUAUAUAGGUCAAAACAAGUCAAAAAUAGACCGUUCUGGAUUCUGACUGAGAAAGGUGUUACGAAUCUAUCCAAAUAAAUAAUCACGAACAAAAAAGUAAAAGCAACUAAAUUGGAGUGAUAUCAGACUAAAAUAUGGGGAAGAAAUUUUACUUUCUUAAUUAACAGUCUUUGUUGUGGUUUGAUGAUGAUCAUGAUAUACGAGCAAAUUGUUAUGAGCUGGAGGAAGUUCGCUUUUUAAACACAAAAUUGUGGUGCAAUGGACAAUGUGGGGAUGGGGGGAGUUAAAAAAAUUAAUCAUGAUGAUCGCACAUGAAGGAGCGAGCAUCUGCUUAGCUAGACAAAAAUACAAGUGGCGUCCAAUAUCUCGUGAUGCGCGAGUAAACAGGUCCUAAACUUUCUACGAACUCAUAAAAAGGCGACAUAUUUGGCAUUGGUAUAUUUCAGCAAAAAAGCUGUAAGCAUCGAAAAAAGAUGUUCGUCAAAAUGGCUCAACGCGAUUUCACCAGAGCACGAGCUGACCGCCAUUAAUACACUAAGUCCUGGGAGGGAAUUUACCAAACUGAGACGAAAAACGUUUCUGAGGUUAAAGGUGAAACCGUAUCGUGUUUUACGUCUGAUAAUAAACACUUUUUGAAAGAUGUUUGACAGAUGAAAAGAUUCUUAUCAACAAGAUAUGGUGUAUCCUUAUGGGUGGUUCGUAUUCAGAUAUUUUAACUGUUGACAAACAUACAGUGGGUGUAUUUCUCCAGGUCGCUUGCAUUUCCCGUGGACAGUUUGGAGCCUCGCUGGAUGGGAAAUAUACCAACGAAGCAAUAAUUCUUAAUAACUUUAUGUAUACGCUUAUAAUAAAGAAGAUGAUCCUGACGGACAUAUCUAAUAUAUCAAUAAGAGAUGAUCCUUACUGGACCUUUAGGAUGAACAGUUUAGA
rnacentral:lncRNA from 1 species